GUGCUCGCUUUAGCAGCACGGGUGCUAAAACUGGAAUGAUAGAGAUUAGCAUGGCCCCAGCACAAGGAUGACACACAGACUCAUGAGGCAGUCUAUAUUUUU